rnacentral:tRNA from 1 species
GCCUAAGUUAGCUUAGUUGGUAAUGCGUCUGCCUUGUAAGCGCUAGGCCGCGGGUUUGAUUCCCGUCCGGGGCG